AUGGACAUGAGGGCCCCUGCUCAGCUCUUGGGGCUGCUGCUGCUCUGGCUCCCAGGUGCCAGAUGUGACGUCCAGAAGACCCAGUCUCCAUCCCUGGUGUCUGCAGCGGUGGGAGACACAGUCACCAUGAAUUGCCAGGUGGAUGAGAGCAUUUACAAAGCUUUAGCCUGGUAUCAGCAGAAGCCAGGGCAAUCUCCGAAGCUCCUGAUCUAUGGUGCAUCCUAUUUACAAUCUGGGGUCCCAUCGAGGUUCAAGGGCAGUGGGACUGGGACUGAGUACACCUUUACCAUCAGUGGUGUGCAGCCUGAAGAUGCUGCCACUUGUUACUGUCAACAAAAUUAUGAUGACCUUCCACAAUGA